CAAGUCGAACGCUUCUUUCCUCCCGAGUGCUUGCACUCAAUUGGAAAGAGGAGUGGCGGACGGGUGAGUAACACGUGGGUAACCUACCCAUCAGAGGGGGAUAACACUUGGAAACAGGUGCUAAUACCGCAUAACAGUUUAUGCCGCAUGGUAUAAGAGUGAAAGGCGCUUUCGGGUGUCGCUGAUGGAUGGACCCGCGGUGCAUUAGCUAGUUGGUGAGGUAACGGCUCACCAAGGCCACGAUGCAUAGCCGACCUGAGAGGGUGAUCGGCCACACUGGGACUGAGACACGGCCCAGACUCCUACGGGAGGCAGCAGUAGGGAAUCUUCGGCAAUGGACGAAAGUCUGACCGAGCAACGCCGCGUGAGUGAAGAAGGUUUUCGGAUCGUAAAACUCUGUUGUUAGAGAAGAACAAGGACGUUAGUAACUGAACGUCCCCUGACGGUAUCUAACCAGAAAGCCACGGCUAACUACGUGCCAGCAGCCGCGGUAAUACGUAGGUGGCAAGCGUUGUCCGGAUUUAUUGGGCGUAAAGCGAGCGCAGGCGGUUUCUUAAGUCUGAUGUGAAAGCCCCCGGCUCAACCGGGGAGGGUCAUUGGAAACUGGGAGACUUGAGUGCAGAAGAGGAGAGUGGAAUUCCAUGUGUAGCGGUGAAAUGCGUAGAUAUAUGGAGGAAC
rnacentral:rRNA from 1 species